GGACUCUGGCUCAGUGGUAGAGCGUCUGCUUGCCCUGCAGAUGGUCCCAGGUUCAAUCCCUGGCAUCUCCA